GACGAACGCUGGCGGCGCGCCUAACACAUGCAAGUCGAACGAGCGAGAGAGACCUUGCUUUCUUGAGCGAGUGGCGAACGGGUGAGUAACGCGUGAGGAACCUGCCUCAAAGAGGGGGACAACAGUUGGAAACGACUGCUAAUACCGCAUAAGCCCACGGUGCCGCAUGGCACAGAGGGAAAAGGAGCAAUCCGCUUUGGGAUGGCCUCGCGUCCGAUUAGCUAGUUGGGGGGGUAACGGCCCACCAAGGCGACGAUCGGUAGACGGACUGAGAGAUUGAACGGAGACAUUGAGACGGAGCCACGGCCCGGAAUACUACGGGAGGCAGGAGUGCGGAAUAUAGCAAAAUGGGGUGAGCGCUGAUGCAGCGACGACGGGUAGAGGAAGAAGGUCUGCGGAUUGGAAAGUCCUGUUGUUGGGGAAGAUAAUGACGGUACCAAACAAGGAAGUGACGGCUAACUACGUG
rnacentral:rRNA from 1 species